rnacentral:rRNA from 1 species
CCUACGGGAGGCAGCAGUGAGGAAUAUUGGUCAAUGGACGAGAGUCUGAACCAGCCAAGUAGCGUGAAGGAUGACUGCCCUAUGGGUUGUAAACUUCUUUUAUAUGGGAAUAAAACGUUCCACGUGUGGGAUUUUGUAUGUACCAUAUGAAUAAGGAUCGGCUAACUCCGUGCCAGCAGCCGCGGUAAUACGGAGGAUCCGAGCGUUAUCCGGAUUUAUUGGGUUUAAAGGGAGCGUAGGUGGAUUGUUAAGUCAGUUGUGAAAGUUUGCGGCUCAACCGUAAAAUUGCAGUUGAAACUGGCAGUCUUGAGUACAGUAGAGGUGGGCGGAAUUCGCGGUGUAGCGGUGAAAUGCUUAGAUAUCACGAAGAACUCCGAUUGCGAAGGCAGUUCACUGGACUGCAACUGACACUGAGGCUCGAAAGUGUGGGUAUCAAACAGGAUUAGAUACCCGUGUAGUC